rnacentral:rRNA from 1 species
AUGACCGUGAACGGCUUCCAGCAAGGAGAGGGGGGUGGCGGGCCGGCAUCGUGCGACGGCCAGUACCACAGCGACGAGGAGUACGUGGUGUCGCUGUCUUCGGAGUGGUACGCCGGCGGGGCUCGGUGCGGCAAGACCAUCCGCAUCGCCAACUCUGGCAAUCUUAACAUAAACGCCAUGGUCGUCGACGAGUGCGCCGGCUGCGAUAACGAGGUGGGCGCGUCCAUCCAUAUCUGGCGUAACUUCCGUCUUGACCCCAGUCUUGGCCAGGCGGACAUCAAGUGGUCCGACCUUGACACGUCCCCCUGA